CGACGGUACAUUGAUGCUUGCAUCAGAUGACGAGUGGCGCACGGGUGAGUAACGCGUAUACAAUCUACCUUUUACAGGGGGAUAGCCUUUAGAAAUGAAGAUUAAUAUCCCAUAGUAAGUAGUUUUGGCAUCAAGACAACUUUAAAGUUUCGGCGGUAAAAGAUGAGUAUGCGUUCUAUUAGUUAGUUGGUAAGGUAACGGCUUACCAAGACCACGAUAGAUAGGGGCCCUGAGAGGGGGAUCCCCCACACUGGUACUGAGACACGGACCAGACUCCUACGGGAGGCAGCAGUGAGGAAUAUUGGACAAUGGGCGCGAGCCUGAUCCAGCCAUGCCGCGUGCAGGAAGACUGCCCUAUGGGUUGUAAACUGCUUUUAUACAGGAAGAAACCUUUUCACGUGUGAAAAGCUGACGGUACUGUAAGAAUAAGGAUCGGCUAACUCCGUGCCAGCAGCCGCGGUAAUACGGAGGAUCCAAGCGUUAUCCGGAAUCAUUGGGUUUAAAGGGUCCGUAGGUGGAUAAUUAAGUCAGGGGUGAAAGUUUGCAGCUCAACUGUAAAAUUGCCUUUGAUACUGGUUAUCUUGAAUUAUUGUGAAGUGGUUAGAAUAUGUAGUGUAGCGGUGAAAUGCAUAGAUAUUACAUAGAAUACCAAUUGCGAAGGCAGAUCACUAACAAUAUAUUGACACUGAUGGACGAAAGCGUGGGGAGCGAACAGGAUUAGAUACCCUGGUAGUCCACGCCGUAAACGAUGGAUACUAGCUGUUCGG
rnacentral:rRNA from 2 species